rnacentral:rRNA from 1 species
AUGCUGGCGCCCGCGGACGUGCCUUCAAUGCCGGCUUCGCGGUCAGGCAACGCGGGGCGCGAGGCUGAGGUGAUCGGCGGCUGGCAGCUCGUCAUGUCACGUAAAGGCCCGCGCCGACCGGCUUUGGCUGCCUCGGCAUUCAAGCCGCCGCCCAUCCCUCGAUGGCUUUUCGGGCGGUGCUGCAGGUGCCUCUUCCAUGGGCACAUGGCGUCGGUCUGCCCACCUCCCCUGCCUCGUCCUGCUGCCGCCUUUGCCCAAGCUCUGCCUUCUUGUCCGGGUCGUGGUUGGGAGGUCUCUGCACCCUUCGUGCCGCCCCACGCCCUACCCGGUGCGCGCCCUCAGCGGCAGGAGUCCGCCCCCCGGGCCAUGGCGGCGGUGCGACCUGGCGACGCCUCGCUUAGGCCUGCGGAGGACUUCGUCAUCGUCCCGGCGACGCCCGAGAUGCAGGUGGAGUCCACCCUCCUCUCCACCAACGCGGCGGUCGCCUGGCUCGAGGGAGACCGGCAGGACGUCUCAUGCCUGCAGGUCGCGGUCGAGAUCGCUGCAGCUCUGGGCGCGCGCAAGGCGGAUGUCGAGGUGGUCAAGCACUACCCCGAGAGGUUCUUCGUCCGCUUCGUGUACCAGCAUCACUGCGCCGACGCCGUGUCCCGCGACUUCCUGGCGGGUGCUGGCUACCGCAUCUUCGUGCGUCAAUGGAGGAUUGAAGACCAUGCUGAAAAUGGAGAUAUGCUCCAGCAUGUGCGGCUGUGCAUGGAGGGGGUACCCCUUCAUGCCUGGAACGAGUACAUCGCCUCCUUCCUCAUCGGUCGUCGCUGUUCGCUAGACUACAUCGAGCCCCACUCUCAUCGCAAAGAGGACACACGAGACCUGGCUCUCUGGGCCUGGACCGCUGAUCCCAGCGCCAUCCCAAAGGUGAAAUGGCUCACCCUGCUUGCCCGUGGUCACCGUCAUCGUGGGCGGCGCGGGCUUCGUCAUCGCGUCAUCAUCCAUUUGGACCUGCUCGAGGACCACUCUAAGGCCGGAGACAACGUCGGCAAUCCACCCCCACCGGACGUCCAUGAGUUCACCAUCAUCCCAAGGGACAGGCGGGCAGCACCAGAGGGCAACGUGCACCGUCAUGACAGGCGUGACGAAGAUGAGGAUCGUGAUGGGCAUCGUGGGCGUGACGGUGGCCGCGACGGUGGCCGCGCCCGCGAGGGAUGGGGCGCCCGUCUGCGUCGCUCGCUAUCCCGCAACGCGCAUGACCGUCAGCGCGAGGACGGCCACGAUCGCGGCCGUGACCGCUCUGGUGGUCGCCGACGCGCUGGUGCCCCCUCCGUCCUACCGCUAGCGCCGGUCGCUAGCCGUGGUGUGGUGCACGACUCCGACCUGCUCCACGGCUCUGGCUCUGGCGGAGAUGAGCAUGAAUGCGUUGUCGAGCUUCUGCCCAUUCCGGGUCAAGGGCGGGCGGGGGACCGUGGGUGCAGCCCAUCUCGGCAUGGCUCUCCUCACUCUGCCAGAAGGCGCUCACAGGAGGCUCUCACCCCGCCGACGUCCCCGCCGCAGUCCCCAACGUCUGUGCUGCUGGCGAACCCAAGAUCAAAUCUCUCUGGGGCACGGAGCUCUCCACUGCUUCACGCCGACCCGGCCCUGUUCGAGCUCUGCUCUCCCAGGUCUCUUCAGCAGCCCAUGACGUCGCCCUCUAGGCCGCCUGGCUUCGAGGGGUCACCCACGCCGCCGCUGCUCUGUGCUGGCCCCCUGCAGCGAACUCCUUCUCCUGUGCAUGGCAGGGUGGCCCAGGAUGACGCGGUGGCCCUGGCUUCCAUCUUUGAAGAUCGCCAGCCAAGCCUUCUCGCCACUCCCGGUUCUUCGCCUCCCAAGCCCCUGAUGGCCCACAGGAAGACCUUGGCCGAUGUCAGGAUAUCUACCAAGGGUGGAUUGUCACUGCAAAGGAUCAGGUGUCCUGGUGGACCGGUUGCCACUCCAGUGGCCAAGGUUGCUGAAAGGCUGGUUGGUCGCAGCCUGGGCAUCACGACGGAUGGCAAGGACGUGACUGAGGCCACCCUGGAUGAUUUCACCGCCAAGUUCAAGGAGCAGCUGGCUCCUAAGGUGAUCAUGGCCAUGCAAGAUUUCUUCCACCUUGACGACAAGGCUGUGAACGAUGUGGAGGAUGCCCUGAUCGAUCACGGCGGAGAAGGCGCACUGGAGUUGGCCUCUGCUCAAGAAGGGGAUGCGCUCCAGGAGAGUCCGGAGCUGGCAGCAGCAUGA